GGCUCCUUGGUGUGAUGAGGAGGAUGUUGAGAAAGAAGUAAAGGCACGCACAAAAGGGGAGAUGGGUGCAGCGAAGACUCUUUGUUCUCCAUUUGACCAGCCUGAGCUGCCUGAAGGUACUUUGUGCUUUGCCUCGGGUAAAUCCGCUAAGAAGUGGACAUACUGGGGUCGCAGCUAUUGAUGAUUCAUUUUCACCUCUUUUAUAUUUUUCUGCGUUAUGGUGAUAUGGGAAAUUGAAUUCCGGAACUUCAAUUGUAACAUGAGUUUCUUUCUUAAGGACUGAUUGUUGUUCUAGUUCCCCAGAAUUUUUGAUUUACUAUUUAUACAGAACGUUUUGUGCUUGAUAAUUCUGUUUGUUAGUUUCAGCCUUUAUUUUCUUUCCAAUCUUACAUUGGAUUAAUUUUGUAGUUCACAAAUCAAAGAGAUGCUUUUAAAC
rnacentral:misc_RNA from 1 species